rnacentral:rRNA from 1 species
AGGACGAACGCUGGCGGCGUGCUUAACACAUGCAAGUCGAGCGGAAAGGCCUUUCGGGGUACUCGAGCGGCGAACGGGUGAGUAACACGUGAGUAAUCUGCCCAUCGCUUCAGGAUAGCCAUCGGAAACGGUGAUUAAUACUGGAUAUGACAUUCCUUCGCAUGUUGGGGUGUGGAAAGUUUUUUCGGCGGUGGAUGUGCUCGCGGCCUAUCAGCUUGUGGUGGGGUAAUGGCCUACCAAGGCUUUGACGGGUAGCCGGCCUGAGAGGGUGACCGGCCACACUGGGACUGAGACACGGCCCAGACUCCUACGGGAGCAGCAGUGGGAAUAUUGGACAAGUGGGCGGAAGCCUGAUCCAGCAACGCCGCGUGAGGAUGGACGGUCCUUCGGGUUGUAAACCUCUUUCAGUCACGAGACGUAGUUUGUCGUUUUGGUGAAGUGACGUAGUGUG